CCCCCCAUGGCCUCAAUGGCUCCUUCUUGUCCAUGCCCAGGUCUGCGGGCGGCCGUGACGCUGGAGGAGACCGGAGGCGGCCUCCAAAGCCCCGGGGGCUCCAUGAGGCUCCUCUGCAAGGCCUCGGGCUUCACCUUCGGAGACUACGGCAUGGGAUGGAUGCGCCAAGCACCGGGGCAGGGGCUCCAGUACGUCGCUGGCAUUAGCAGUGGUGGUGGCACCACCAGAUACGGGGCAUCGGUGAAGGGCCGAGCCACCAUCAGCAGGGACAACUCCCAGGGCACGGUCACGCUGCAGAUGAGCGGCCUCACGGCGCAGGACACGGCCACUUACUACUGCGUGAAGGGUAAUGAUGGUUAUGGUGAUGGUGAUGGUGGUUAUGGUGCUUAUGGUGAUGGUGAUGGUGGUUAUGGUGCUUAUGGUGAUGGUGAUGGUGGUUAUGGUGCUUAUGGUGAUGGUGGUGGUGGUGAUGGUGGUUAUGGUCUGCGGGCGGCCGUGAUGCUGGAGGAGACCGGAGGCGGCCUCCAAAGCCCCGGGGGCUCCAUGAGGCUCCUCUGCAAGGCCUCGGGCUUCACCUUCGGCACCUACGGCAUGGGAUGGAUGCGCCAAGCAAUGGGGCAGGGGCUCCAAUGGGUCGCUGGCAUCAACAGCAAUGGUGGUGGCGCCGGAUACGCGCUGUCGGUGAAGGGCCGAGCCACCAUCACCAUGGACAGCUCCCAGGGCACGGUCACGCUGCAGAUGAGCGGCCUCACGGCGCAGGACACGGCCACUUACUACUGCGUGAAGGGUGCCCACGGUGGUGCCGGCGGCAUGCGGGGCCCGGCUGCCCCCUCCCUCUUGCCCCUCUCCCCCUGCUCUUCCUCCUCCUCCUCCUCCUCCUCCCUGUUCUCCGUCGCCUGCGUGGCCGUGGGCUCCGUGCCCCCCGGCGCCGCCAUCGCCUGGCGCGACCGCCACGACCGGACCCACAGCGCCACCGGGGCCUUCCGUGGGGCGCCCCACGGCGCCGGCGCCGCCUCCCUCCUGGUCAUGGAGGGCGCCGAGGGCCGGGCCCUGCAGCCCUUCCAGUGCCGCCUGGGCAGCGCCAGCGCCAACGUCACCAACCCCGGCUCCACCUCCCCGUCCGCCCCCCUUGUCCCCACCGUCACCCUGUACCCCCCAUCCCGCGAGGACUUCCAGGGCCCCUACCGCAACGCCACCCUCCUGUGCCACGUCCAAGGCCCCCCCUCGCCCCCCAUCCGCUGGCUCCGGAACGGCCUGGACCUCCUCGACGCCGCCAUCACCGAGACCUUGGCCAACGGCGGCCGCGGCGUCACCAACAGCCUCCUGGUGGUCACCGAGGCCGAGUGGGCCUCCGGGGACGUCUUCACGUGCCAGGUGGGGGACGAGAUGAGGAACAUCAGCAAGGCUCUGGAGUGCGGAUACGAGGCCCCCAGUGAGGACAUCACCGUGAAGGUGACGCCGCCGCUCUUCAUGGACAUCUUCAAGGAGAAGGUGGCCAAGCUCUCGUGCCAGGUCCUCAACGUGCCCUCCAUGGACGGCCUGGACGUGUCCUGGUGGAAGGAGGACGGCACCGAGCUCGACACCAAGAGGCUGCCCCACGUCCUGGAGGCCAACGGGCUCUUCAGCGCCAUGGCCGUGGCCAACGUCCGCACCACCGAGUGGGACAGGGGGGACAUCUUCACCUGCAGGGUCACCCACCCCGAGCUGCUCUUCCCUGCCCAGGCCACCCUGCAGAAGGCAGCCGCGAGCGACGCCAAGGCGCCGUCCGUCUUCGUGUUCCCACCUCCCUCCGAGCAGCUUUCCAUGCGGGAAUCGGCCACCAUCACGUGCCUGGUGACGGGCUUCAACCCCCCGGACCUCUUCAUCCAAUGGCUCCGCAACGGGGAUCCCGUUCCCGCUGCCGACUACGUGACGUUGCCGCCGACGCCGGAAUCGCGCCCGCGUCCGCCCGCGUCCCGAGCCCAUCCUGCCCCUUCCUACUUCACCUACAGCGCCCUGACGGUGCCGGGAGAGGAUUGGUCCAGCGGGAACGUCUUCACGUGCGUGGUGGGCCACGAGCGCAUCCCCAUGCAGGUGAUGCAGAGAUCCGUGGAUAAAGCCUCCGAGCUCCCCAAGGGGGAGGAGGAGGAGGAGGAAGAGGAAGACCUCGAGAACCUUUGGGCCACGGCCUCGACCUUCAUCGUCCUCUUCAUCCUCAGCCUCUUCUACAGCGCUACCGUCACCUUGAUCAAGGUGAAAUAACCCCAUUCCGAUGGAAUUCCACCUCUCAUCCCCUCCAGUGCUGGAUAUCGAUGGAAUUCUGUGGGAUUCUUGUCCUUUUCCUCCCUGUUGUAAAUAGUUUCCUCCUAAUAAAUAAAGUUUUCCACAUUUU